GGAAUAUUGGGCAAUGGGCGAAAGCCUGACCCAGCGACGCCGCGUGAGGGAAGAAGGUCUUCGGAUUGUAAACCUCUUUCAGCAAGGAAGAAGAAAGUGACGGUACUUGCAGAAGAAGCCACGGCUAACUACGUGCCAGCAGCCGCGGUAAUACGUAGGUGGCAAGCGUUAUCCGGAAUUACUGGGUGUAAAGGGUGUGUAGGCGGGGCGCCAAGUCAGAUGUGAAAAUUACGGGCUCAACCCGUAACCUGCGUCUGAAACUGGUGCUCUUGAGAGUGGGAGAGGUAAACGGAAUUCCUGGUGUAGCGGUGAAAUGCGUAGAUAUCAGGAGGAACACCGGUGGCGAAGGCGGUUUACUGGACCACAACUGACGCUGAGACACGAAAGCGUGGGGAGCAAACA
rnacentral:rRNA from 1 species